rfam:Acyrthosiphon pisum strain LSR1 Contig39513, whole genome shotgun sequence.
AAAAAGGUCCUUAUCAGGACCACAAAUUUAAAUAAAUCCAAUUUUU